rnacentral:rRNA from 1 species
AGUGAACGCUGGCGGUAGGCCUAACACAUGCAAGUCGAACGGCAGCACAGUAAGAGCUUGCUCUUACGGGUGGCGAGUGGCGGACGGGUGAGGAAUACAUCGGAAUCUACUUUUUCGUGGGGGAUAACGUAGGGAAACUUACGCUAAUACCGCAUACGACCUACGGGUGAAAGCAGGGGUUCUUCGGACCUUGCGCGAUUGAAUGAGCCGAUGUCGGAUUAGCUAGUUGGCGGGGUAAAGGCCCACCAAGGCGACGAUCCGUAGCUGGUCUGAGAGGAUGAUCAGCCACACUGGAACUGAGACACGGUCCAGACUCCUACGGGAGGCAGCAGUGGGGAAUAUUGGACAAUGGGCGCAAGCCUGAUCCAGCCAUACCGCGUGAGUGAAGAAGGCCUUCGGGUUGUAAAGCCCUUUUGUUGGGAAAGAAAAGCAGCAGGUUAAUACCCCGCUGUUCUGACGGUACCCAAAGAAUAAGCACCGGCUAACUUCGUG